CCAAUUCGAACCCAGUAUACAUGGUAGAGACUCGGCAUGAAGAGAGAGUCCCACCAGGGUUCGAGCAAGUUAUAUUGGUACAGACCCGAGAGAAGGAUAAUAGGCUUUGCUUGUUUCGCUUCUCCCUCUAACGCGAGUGAUUUCGCGGGAGGUGGUUACAGAGGGGAGUUCUGAUCAAACUCUUCUGCCUCUGUCCCUGGUUCUUCCCUGAAGUGAAGAUCUAUGGUCGGGAAUCGCUAUCCUAGACAAUCAUGCUGUUUGAGUUGGUAGCUAAUAUAAGGUAAUCUAAAUUACCUUUCUUUUUUGCCUUCUUAUUAAUUAAUUUAAAUAUAUGAUAUAUAAUUUAACCUAAAUUUAAGAACUUUAUGUAAGGAUAUUCUUUAUAUAUAUUUGUCACUAUUCCAUUUUUUAUGCAUCAGUUCUAUUUGUCUUUUUAUUAUUAAUUGUUUCCCCUCCUUUAUCUAAUUGCUUUAUAUUUUUACCAAUAACAAUGUUUCAAAUUUUCAAUUCUACUAAAAACAUAUUUCCAUAUAUGAUAUAUACUUUUAUAAACAGAUGUAAAUGUUAAAGACAAACUCUUCUGCCUCUGUCCCUGGAUCUUCCCUGAAGUGAAGAUCUAUGGUCGGGAUUCGCUAUCCUAGACAAUCAUGCUGUUUGAGUUGGUAGCUAAUAUAAGGUAAUCUAAAUUACCUUUCUUU
rnacentral:lncRNA from 1 species